CCUUCCCUCCCUCGUUCUCUCCUUUUUCAUUUGUGUUUUCCUUUGCUUUCUGUUUAAGAAAAACUUUCUUGAGAUAUUCUUGAGAUGUCCUUUGGAGAGCUACCAAGACACUGUUAAUAAACAGCUUCCAAAAAGCUGUGUUAGAGACAGCAGGAUGUUGCUGCAGUUUCCAUGUGUCUGUGUGACCAACAGACAAUAUGCUGUCCUGGAAUUCUCCUAGCAGUGAAUUUGCUGUUCAGCGUCAGCAUCACAGAGAGAGGCUGAGUUUCCUUCCCCUGCAGCUCUGGUGCCCAUACUGCCUGCCUCUCCAGGGAAUGACUGGACUCCAACAACAGGUCUGGCAGAAGUUCCAGCCCAUGUCAGUGAACUGAAUAACUCUCUCUUCUGAAAUAAAAAAUCCAAAACUUUUUGUUUCUUACUGUGUCUUUAAGCCUGUUAAGCAAUGGUAUUUUCCUCACACAGACUUUUAACAGGAAACCAAAAUUGGAUUUUUUUUAACAAAUGAAAGCCUUACUUUUCUUAAUUCUGAAUAUUUUUAUUCUUUUCACCCCCCUUAUUUUUUUCUAUCUUUAUUAAAGGGUUUAAAAGAUUUGGUGUGGCUUAUGUUGCCACAGAAAUAAAGAAGCAUUUGAAAUCUCAAACGCUAUCCAAAACUUGUUUAGCAAUAUAGUUUUGUUACAGUGACACAGCAUCUUUAAUUCAUUUGACCCUUUGGAUCUUUUAUUCUACUGAAAUUUGACUCAGCAAAGUUAAAUCCCCUUAUAUCAUUCUGCAAGACAACUCAUUUUAUGUUUGGAUACAAACAGCCAAAGGUGCACAAUCAACUCGCCCCCAACAUGCCAGUUUGCACUAGUGUGGCUGAAUGGAAAAAGAAAUUGUGGUGGCUUUAUAGAAAUGUACCUAAUUUCUAUGGGAUGCUCAGUGAAUAUCAGAACAAUAGAUGGUGUAUUAACUACUAUGUCUGCUCUUUUUCCUUGGCAUAGGUAAUAUUUUUAUGUAAGGGGAUGGCAGCCUACUCUCAUUAUAUUAAGCAAAAUUCUUCAACGGAUACCAUGAAGUAAUAAUUUUUUUUUUUUUAGCUUAUUUUUACUUGGUCUUUAGGAAACUGUUCUGUAAUAGCAAGCUCUGGAACAAAAUCUAAAAAACAGGGAAUUUUUUGUGUUUGAAAUGUCUCUCCAUAUGAUUGCAAAUAAUAAAAUUAUGGAAAUAUCUUAUUCUCCAGUUACUCUAUAUCAUCCAAUCAGCAUGAUUUACUCUUCCCUCUUGCUAUAUACUUUUGUGUGCAGAUUUUAUUGUGUCUCUGUUUUGGUUUUAAUAUUUAUAUGUAAUUAUUAUCAAGCAAAACAGAGAGCAACCAGUUUUUUAAGGAUGUACUGGAGUGAACCACUACAGGCAAGUUAUAUUUAUUUCCACGUUCAGGAUAUGGAAGGCUAGCAAGGGAUACCUCUUUGCACCUAAAUAUUUUAAGUCCAUUGGAAAAGAAUUACAGGCUGGUCAAAUAAGGUUUUUCUUAUCUUUUUUUUUUUCCUUUCACCCCCAUUUUGUGUUAAGAUUAGAAUCUGUUAAAAACAGCCCAUUACCUUAAGCCUUAAAGCAGUUCUUUCCCUGUUGCAGAGAAAUCUGCUUGAAAUGUGUUCUGCCUUUAUGAUCUCCAGGCUCUAGCCUGGCCAAACAGAUGGAGUGUUCCUACCUGGGCUGUCACUUUGUUUUCCUCUUCUCCCCAUUGAACUAAACCUUGCUCCCUAUGCAACUUGAGGGGAAGGACUUUUAACACAACAUGAAACAACAUCCUUGACUGAGCAGGUUACAGAGAGAGCCCAAAAGCUCUCAGUACUCUUCAGUUCCAAUACACCAGCUCUCGUGGAACCCAAAGUGUAGGUGCACAUCUGCCUUGUUUCCUUCCACUGCCUGAUUACAGCAUUUCCAGCCUCUGCCAAGAUGGUGAUGGCCACAGGACUGCAGCCUGAAGAGGGAAGGACUGAAAUCCUGCUUUCACCAAGACCAACACGUACAAGAGAGGCAAUCACCGGUUGCUUAACAGAAGUGAAAAAGAAUGCACUUUUGGUCCUGGACUGUUCUUUGUAAUUUAAUGUGAUCUGCUGUCAACAAGAGGCAAAAUAAACCUCUGACACUCGCUAAAGUUUCACACUACAGAAGUGAAAAGAUAUCACCCGGGACUUCCUUUCCAU